GUGAAAAUCCGAGACGGGAAUGAAGGUUGGCAUUCCCGCCCUAAUACCCCGACGUGCGGUCAUGGUGCGCAACAUGGCUGUACGAAGCUCGGAGAGGACGGCGAAAAGCAGACCUGAGAAGCGGUUAGCGAAGUAGCCGGGGGUCCAUAAA
rfam:Geobacillus kaustophilus HTA426 DNA, complete genome.